GGCGUGCAUUGUGUAUAUGCAAACCAGUGCCCCGGCUCCCCGGGGCUGCCCUACCCGGCCGGGGCUGAGGCUGCGGCUGGAGCUGCGGUGGGUGCUGCUGUCCUCGCCGGAGCCCGGCGCUGUCAUGCCCCCGCCGCGCGGCGGGCCGCUGAGCCCCGGAGCCGCUAUAUAAGCGCAGGCAAGGGGACAUUCGGAGGGGCUGAAGAUGAAGGUGCCCGCGCAUGGGCCCCCACUGAUUGCCAACCCCUCCCGAGCCCGCGCCCAGCGCGGAGCCCGCGGCCGCCCAGGACCCGCCUUCACCGCAGUAGCAGCUGGAGCAGCGACAGAGGAGGCAGCUACGGCGGUGGCGGCGGCGCCCGUCGCCGGAGCGCGUAGAUCGGCGGCGGCAGCUCGGGGGCCGCCGCUGCCCCGGCUGCCAUGAGUUGUGCGGAGGUGAUGUAUCACCCCCAGCCGUAUGGAGCGCCCCAGUAUCUGCCCAACCCUGUGGCAGCUGCAACCUGCCCCACAGCCUACUACCACCCGGCGCCCCAACCUGGCCAGCAGAAGAAGUUAGCGGUAUACAGCAAGAUGCAGGACUCUCUGGAAGUCACCCUUCCCAGCAAACAAGAGGAGGAGGAGGAUGAGGAGGAGGAGGAGGAGGAGGAGGAGAAAGACCAGCCUGCCGAGAUGGAGUACCUUAACUCUCGCUGUGUCCUUUUCACUUAUUUCCAGGGAGACAUUGGGUCAGUAGUGGAUGAACACUUCUCAAGAGCUUUGGGCCAAGCCAGCACCCUCCAUCCAGAAUCUGCCAUUUCAAAAAGCAAGAUGGGGCUAACCCCACUAUGGCGAGACAGCUCAGCUCUCUCAAGCCAGCGGAAUAGUUUCCCGACUUCCUUUUGGACCAGCUCUUACCAGCCCCCACCUGCACCCUGCUUGGGGGGUGUUCAUCCUGACUUCCAGGUCACUGCACCCCCUGGCACCUUUACUGCGGCCGACCCCAGCCCCUGGCCAGGACACGGCCUGCAUCAGACUGGCCCAGCCCCUCCCCCGCCCGCAUCCGAGUCCUGGCACUAUCCUUUGGCAUCUCAGGUGAGCCCAUCCUACAGCCACAUGCAUGAUGUGUACAUGCGGCACCACCACCCCCACGCCCACAUGCACCACCGCCACCACCACCACCACCACCACCACCCUUCUGCUGGCUCUGCCCUGGAUCCGUCCUAUGGGCCCCUGCUGAUGCCAUCAGUGCGUGCAGCCAGGAUUCCUGCUCCCCAGUGUGACAUCACAAAGACAGACCCGACUACAGUCACCACUGCUACCUCAGCGUGGGCCGGAGCCUUUCAUGGAACCAUGGACUUAGUGCCAAGUGUGGGGUUUGAAACAGGAAAUAAAAGGCAAGAUGAAAAGUAGCUAGAGAACUAGAGCAGCAAAUGGAGAGGCAGUUUAUCUCCAUGAAAGAGAGAUGGACAUCAAGUUACCACUUGCUUUGCCGUUCAUCCUGUCUGCAGCAUCAAGACAAGAGCAAGGAAUCACCCUGGUACUGAAACACAGUAUUAGCAAGUCAGGUUGAAGUGUGAAUCCAUGGGCCCACUGGGAAAGAGGCUGCCAGGAUUUCCCAUUCUGCAGUGGGACACAAUAGACAUGGAAGAAGAAGAGGAAAUGUCAGCCAGCUAACUUUGGUUUGGAGCCUUUUCUUGAGAAAGCAGAGUGGGUCCUAGACAUUGAAGAAAAGCAUUUUUAUUUGUUUUUUUUUUUCCCCUCAUCUGAGCCUUUGUCAACUGUGCAAAUCUUUUUUUUUUUUUUUUUUUUGGUCUUGCUUUUAUCAAUACAUGAUUUAAUUUUUGUUUCAUUCUGAUUUUUUUUUCUUUUUCCUUUUUGAACCAACCAUCUUGUCAGGAAAAGAUGAACCAGACGUGAAAAUGCUCAUCCUUUCAGGAAUACAAUUUUGUAGCUCUAUGUGUAUCUAUUUUUGUAGAAUACAGAAAGUUUGAUUUAGCAUUGAUGGGCUAUUUUUGAGGGAUGUAUUUUUUUUAAUAUUGUAAAAAUUGGUAAGUUCUGUUUAAAGAACUUGCUUUCAGAGAAGCACUGGCAAAAAUGUUAAAAAUGCUUGUCUUUAAAAUGUCUGUGAUAUGCUCUGUGCUUUCUAGGUUACCUCAAGUGUUUGAUAGUUCCUCCUUUUUACAAAAGUAGCAGCAUAGCCAAGCCAAGAUAGUAUUGUUUUACAUUAAAUCUCGGCGAAGAUUUAAUUCCAUGUUAGCUCACUUAGCUUUGAGUUAUAUGUAUAGAUUGGAAAGGAAGUUUUUUAAUGACCAUACUAAAGAAAGGAUAUUUCAUUACUUCGAUUUGUCCCAAAGAGUACUUGGAGUUUGACUAAGAAGAAAGUUUGCAUCAACUUUCAGUCAGAGGGAGAGACUGCCUGGAGUAUAUAAUUGUCUUUCUAGCCCAUCCAACUUUGAUAAAUGGAACCGGUUUGUAUCCAACCACUGGAAAAAAAAAUACAUUAACCCAUGCUACCUUUGACUGCCAGUGACUUAGUUUCCUUGUUUCUAAUUAUUCAAUCAUGGCAAUUUUUAAGGUCAUAUUUUAAGUGGAUGUUUUUGUUUGUUUUUGUUUUUAUUUUCCGAGAUAUUUUGAAUGGAAAAUAUUUGGGAGGGUACUAGACACAGCACAAGCCUUGAAUUCAGUGACUAUUUCUGACGUUACUCAUCAUUAUAUAUUGAAAAAUAAUAUAUUGUAUAUGUGAUUUUAAACAUAGGUUUUUUUCAAGUCUUUUUUUGGUUGUUUAAAUCUGGUCUUAGUUGAUUGAACUCUUUUUAAGAAAAUGAUUUAGGGUAAAAUGAAAUUUAAAUUAGAAUAUGCCACAAUUACUUAAAUUGGGGUAAUAAAUUAGCCAUUUAUUAUUUGAAAUUUAUUCAUGAAAACUCAGGAUUCAACUUGACGUGGCCCUCAGGACCUAAAUAAGGUGAAGUUGGAACUAUCAUUAAGACCCUAUUGGGAAAAGAUUAGGGUUAUAAAAGUAGCAGUUAGUAAUAUUUUAAGGAUUUUUGAUUCAAGUCCAUUCUCUCAAAGCUGCUUCCAGAGAUGGGUCACAUUAAAGAGUUAGGGCUAUAUAGAAGUUUUAGUUUGGUAAAAGUUUCUCAAAUGUCCCCCAUCCUUGUCUUCACCAAUACGAAAUACAGUGUUUAGUGAAAUACCACUUUCCAUUUUAAAUUGUGUAUAUCUUGUGUGUAAAGAUUUUAGCUAUAAGAACAACACAACCUUUGCUCAGCUAGGCAGGGUUCUUACAGAUAAUUUAAAGUAAUUCCCUUAUCUCUGUUUUUUACAUUGGUUGUCUUCCCUGGUGCCUCCUGUGAGUUAUAAAUCUAUACACUCUCUUGUAUUCUUAUCACUGCAUAAAUUGCUUCUUCUUACCUAGACUCUCCUUAACACAAUAUGCAUAUUUUUACCUAAUGUGAGGUUGAAACUUAAGGAAUUUUCCACUUACUAAUGACAUGAACUUUGAGUUCUAGGGAGUGGCUUAGUUAAAUUAUCUAUAUUUUGAUCUGUGAUUUGUUAUGGUUGUAUGUACUUUGUCCAAUCUGUGGAACAUGAAGUUGAUUGAAUCUAUAAAAUUGGUUUCCUCUUGUGUCCUCCUGAGUUUUCAAAAACAAGUAUUCAGCAGUUCCCAUGGGAUGACUCAUUGGGGAUUAUUUAUUUCCUUCCUCUUCCUUUGGAACCUAUUAACUUCCUUUGCAGUUUCUCUUAGAACAGUGUUGUACUCCAACUCAUUCAGAUCAUGCAAUUGGAUUUUCCCAAUUAAGGGAGAAGAAAAGUAUUAACUCUCUGCUCCGUUCCUUCUUCUCCAUUGAAUUGAAUUCAAAAGGAGAGCAGACAAUUGGAUAGCUUCACCCUGAAUUUGGACUGUGUUCUGUGCCACUGUAGGAUGGUACAUUGUGCACAGUAGAAUGUAGGAUGAAACAUUCCUUGGCUCUGGGGCCCAAGAAAAGUUGGGGACCUGAAUUCUGCUGUAUCUAGGAAAGAUUUGCAAGUGAGGUCUCCUGUUGAGAAAAGACAUCAUUGACAUAUUGCAAGGAUUAGAUCCUUGCAAGAUAAGGAAUAGAUCAAAGUCUAAAUGAAAAGAGAGUGCAUGUCUCUAUAAUUGCCUGGCAUCCCCUUGUUAUGAUCAUUUUACCUUUACCACCAGAAGUUAUAAAAGAGAAUGGGUUGUAAUUUAGCAUGAUAUUCUGACCUUAAGUUUAAAAUGCUAUCACUCUCUGGUUCUGCUUUCCUCACAUCAAAACGAUGCUGUUGAACUUAUAGGCUUCUAACCUGCUUUAAAGAGGCUACCAGCUUCCUCCCUAAAUCAUUUGAAACCACUCCACCUUUGACUAUUUUAAAAAUUAGACUUUAUUCAAGGUUUUGGAAGAUGUGAGCUAAACCAUAUAAAAUCAUCUCAUUUAUUUGACAUCUAAUCCAGGCUUUGGCCACUACACUAUCAUAAGUUAAUGAACAACUCAUGAGUUGGAUCUCAACAGGCUACUUUGUCCCUCAUCGUUUAUUUGAAAGAGCCUCUAAAUAUUUUAAAAAUCAAUGUUUCUUAAGAAGGUUAAUCAUCCCCUUCCUAACUUUCAUCUGUAAUUUUUCUUCUUUCUCUUUCUUCUUAAAAUUAUUUACAUUAUUAUUUAAGCAAAAAUGCCCAGGGUUGCUCCAAAUGUUGCAAAUAAGAACCAGUGGUUUGCAAAUAAUUGAGGAAUUAGUUCUUUGAACUUUAUAACAAACCUUAAAAAAAAACAAAAAAAAAAAACAAAAACAAAACAAAACAAAUUCUAGGCACUGGUGUAAAACAUGCCCUUGAGGAGCUCAUUAUUCAUUUUGCAAACCAUCUUUCCUAUUCCUGUUCUAAGACUUGCAGAAUAGGACUGGAUCUAUCUAGUUUUUGCAUUUGUUCUGUGGUUUAGUGUUACAUGUGUCAUUUAAAGUUGCAGUCAGAAACUAUAUUUUAAGAAACUAAAUUCUAUUUCUUACUGGGUGUCCCUCCCUUUGUUACACUGUAUUUGCCAAAUUAAGUCAAUGAGGCAUUAAGUGGUGGUAAAGGAAAGUAUACAUGCUGGAGUUUUGACUGGGGGAUGAAUAGAGAAGUAGAAUGAAUUAAUGGAAAAGAUCAUUGGUUUGUAUAUUAGGUCAUUCUCUGAAUUCUGCCUUGGCCACAGUUAGAUAUGUGUGAUUUGGGGUUUAUCUUAUGAAGAAAGUGAGAUAAUAAUACCUAACUGGCAGGCUGUGAAGUGUGGAAAUGAUAUCUAUAUGAUAUAUAUAUAUAUAUAUAUAUAUAUAUAUAUAUAUGAUAUAUGUAUGAUAUAUAUAUCAUAUAUAUGUGAUCAAUCAUAUCUGUCUCAUUAUAGCUAUUUAAUAAAUGACAGGCACCACAAAUGUCUAUCAAUUUUGUAAGUAGGUCAUAAAACUGAGCUCCCAAAUGUCCCUUCUCUAUACUUUCCAUAUCUAUUUCUGCAGCAAUCCAAUAGAUAUAGGACUACUUUUUCAUGACAAAUUGUUGCAAGAGAAUCUUUGCCCACUACUAUUUGUUGAAGAUAAAUGUAAAUUUCUUAAUUAUUUCUGUUACUUUAGUGUGUCAUUUAUGAAAGAAAAUAACCUUUUAGUGGUAUGUAGCCCCAACUGUGAGUUUUCUUACAUAUUCCAAAGUUUUAUUCAUCCAGGAUCCCAAAUCAAGGCAACAUCUUUAUUAAAUCACCAAAGUUUAUAUUUUUCAAUUACAUUUUGGGCUUCCUUAGCACCUGGAAUAAAAACAUCUCUUUUGAAGUUAUCCAUUUUUUUUUCUUUUACUUGCCUUGGAGGAAAAAUUGCAGAAUAUGGUGGAAAAAGAUCGUUUGCAUGAAAAGGGGAGGGAAAAGAAAACCCUUUACGAUCUCAGCAGAUUUACUCUGCUUGAGAAAAAAAGAAACAAUUUUAUUGGAAGCAGAUGUUGACACUGUGUCAGUUAUUGAAGAUGGAAAGAGUUCUCUUGAGCCAUUGCAGUUACAAAGGGGUAUUGAUGGCAGUUAGAAUCCCUGUGAUGGAUCACCUUCACAGCAGACAUAAGGACCGCAGAAAAGCAGAAACUGUAUGAGACCACUGAAAUCAGCCUGCUGAUUUUAACGUACAGGAUCCUAAGGAUCCAGUUUCAUUUUGUUUUGUUUGUUUUGUUUUUUCUUUCCUCCAGGAUGAAAGACACAUCUUUCAGAAAAUUUAAGGCUUCUUUGAGAAAUUUACUUUUAUUCUCUAAAAACAUGGCCUAAGAGCCCUUUAAAUCUCUUAUUUUUAAAGUACUAAAAGUAUUAUUAAAGUCAUUUUAGAAAAAUCAGGUUAUAGUUUUAGUUCAGUGAUGUAUGUUGAAAAUAAAUACAUAAACUACACAAAAAAUGGAUGAUUGAAGAUUGGGGUAUGGGUGGGCCCUUCCAGGAAACCUUGGUCUCAAUAGCUUUAAUUACCUUAGUAACUUGGUCAUGGACAUUGGUCACAGAACAGACUUUCAGGCUUUUCUCUUUUAGUGCUCUCUUGGAAUUUACUCCUAUAUACUUUCCCAAAGUAUAGAAAUAGCCAUUAUUAUUAAAAUAUCUUGAUUUUCUUAUUUCCUUUAUUGUCCAUUAUGCUUUUUUAUUUGUUUGAAAAAUUUUUAUAGUUUCAAAUAAUUAAUCAAACUAAUGUUCAGUCAAAAUUGCAAAUUAACUUGAUCCGAUAAUAUGUAAAUGUCCUUUUAAAGGUCAAGGCAUACUAUUGAAUUAACUAAUUAUGUAAGUAAACAAUGAUACCUUCUAGAAAAGGGACAGUCACCAUCAAGUAGCUUCCUUUUUAACAAUUUCUGGACUACUAAAUUUUGACUUAAGAAUAACUCUUUUAGAAUAUAAGAUUCUUUAGGGUUUUUUUUUUUUGGUGUAUGCAUAAGAUGUGAACUUUUCUAAUGAUAUCUCUUUAUACUAGUAGAGAUGUACAUUUUUUUUUUCUAUGCUGUGGCUAGGGCAAAAAUGAAUAAUUAUUUACACACAUGAUUUAAUUUCUUAGGAUAUUUACAAUCUUGGAUAUUAUAUAUGAUUUUAAAAUACUAUUCCAUUCAUUUUUCUGGAUGUACAAUAUAGGGAAGAGUUUUCAUGUGAAUUCUUUGUUCAUUUUAAAGUGCAUAUAUUGAAAGAGAAAACGUGGAUUAAUUUGUUUUUAUCAUAUACAUCUAGGUAAGGUGAAAUACUUUUAUAAAAAAUAGUGUAGAAGACUAUAUUUGUCACUUGGUUAGGUAAACUGAAAAUAAUAAUAGAAAUAUUAUCUUACAACAUUGAAAUACAAUGAAAUUCCAGACUUGUGAGUUUUAUGAGCAAUUUUAUGCUAUCUUAAUUUUACAUUUCCAGAAAGACAAAUUAACUAAUCUUACCUAGUUGUCAGUCUUUAAUAUAAAACUUUUGGGUUUACAAGCUCAUUAUGAAAUCAUAAUUUUUGUUUGUUUUUCUUGGGAUUGUGGAAAGAGACAUUUUCAUAUUUCUAUUCACUCUUCAAAUGCAGGUCACAUAACUAUGUGUCAGUGAUAUAAGAUGAUGGAGGACUUUGUAGUAAAAACUGUCACCUUCAAUUUGUUCAAUAAAUAAUUUAAUGUGAAUUUAAUGUUUAUAUUUUAAUGUAGCAUUUUCGUUUGGUCUGCCUUUCUUGAAAAUGAACUCAAGCUCACUGUUUUCUUCUUCUCCAGUUAAGGAGUUUAUAAAUAUCUUUGAAAACUAAAGCUAAAUAUUAGUGAGUCUUUUUUAUGAAGUUAAUUUCUAAGGCCAAGUUAAUUUCUAAGGCCAAGUUGUUAAUAGUGAAGAGUGGGUUAUAAAACAAGUGUUCAUAAUGGAAGAACAAGUGAAAUGUACUAAAUUACAUAACAACAGGAAGCUUCUGAAGUUUUUUCAAUGUUUACUUAUUUGGGAGAGAAAGAGAGAGAGGGAGAGAGAGACAAUGUCAAGCAGGCUCUACGUUGCUAGUCUGGAACCCAAGGCAGGGCUUGAUCCCAUGAACCAACCAAACCAACCGUGAAAUCAUGACCUGCGCCAGGAUCAAGAGUUGAACACAACCAACUGAGCCACCCAGGCACACCGUGAAUUUUUUAAUACAAUGCUUCUAAAGCUAUCAAUUGACUCUUUGCACAAAGUACAUUUUGUUGUUUUGUUUUUACUCUUAUUGAUACAGAACUUGCUGUAAGUAGUAUGGAAAAUCACAAACACACACACACACACACACACACACGACCAAAAACUUACAGUUCAUUGACAGUGAAGAACUACACCUAGAAAGGAAAAUUCCAAGACUAUAUUUUUGAAGGAAGUUAGAGUUUUCCUACAAUGGCGUCUACUUUCUUAUUAAAUGAAUUUUUAAUGUGGAAGUGCAAAAGUCUAGAAAUAAGUGUUUAAAUCAGUAGACCCUCCAACAUUAUAGGUGAAAUAAUUUGGCAUUCUUAAUUGUUGCUAUAUUUAGACUAGACUAGUGUUAUGAGUUUUCUAUGGCUGCUGUAAAAAUUACCACAAUCUUAACAUCUUCAAACAAAUUUAUUAUCUUAACCACUUGGUAGGUCAGACAUUUGGCACUGCUCUCAGGCUAAAAUCAGUGUCAGCUGCAUUCCUUCUGGAUGCCCUAAGGGAGAAUCUCUUUCUUUGCUGUUCCAAGUUUCUAGAGUCCUUGACUAAAGGCCCCCUCUUCAUCUUGUAAGCCAUUAGCCAUCAAGUCCUUCUCACAAGGCAUCAUUCUGACCCUCUCUUUCACCUCUCUCUUACAUGUUUAAAGAAAUUUGUAGUUACAUUGGCUCUACCUUGAUAAUCUCCUCAACUCAGAGUUCUUAAUUUAAUUGCAUCUGUAAAGUCCUUAAAUAUAAGGUAACAUAUUCACAGGUUCUAAGGAUUAGGAUGUGAGUAUUUUGGGGGGGUGGGCACUAUUCUACUACCACAAUUAUUAUUAGAUUUAAGUUUAUUUAUUUAUUUAUUUAUUUUUUACCAGCCUUGUAAUCUGGGAGUAUUUAAUACAUCACUGAAACUAGCAAGGCUUGUUCCAUGUUCGCAAUGGUCGUUUGUGUAGGAUUCGUCUUCAUUCACUUAAAUAAUUGCAUACAAAGGGAAUUUCUGUUCUUAUUUCAAACAUUUCACGUGGUUAUUAUAGUGCCUUGGAAUCUAAAGGGCUAUGUGGUAUUUAUGUCAGACAAACGCUCAGGGGGUGGGGGGGUGGUGGAGAGAAGGACAUCUGGUGCAGAUUCUUCCUAGCUGAAGUGUGUUUUCUCUGGGGACAAUCAACUACCAUUUAAUUGUUUUGCUUCCUUUUUUUGGGAACAUGAUCAUCCUGUGAUGUCCUAAGUCUCCAAGCAUCUCAUUUGACCUGCUUAUACACAUUUGACAAAAUAUCUAUAUAUGACCACAUUGACAUGGUAAAGCUUUUACAUUUUUGUCCAGAUUGAAUCAUUACAUCUGUUAUCAGUUAAGCAGUGGAAAAACUGUUAUGGAAAGCAAACAUAUUUUGAUACAUUUAAUGUGUAAAGUAGGUUCCUGUGCUUUGGAAUGCUGUUGAUCAAUAAAUGAGCUAGGCUGUCUUAGAAAUAACACUCAAACACAACUGUUUUACUUUCCACACCAAGUUUGGCUGUGGCUGAAUGAAGAACACCAGCAUUGAUCUUUGCUUCUCACUUGUAAAAGAGACUAUUUGCUGGGAGCCAAAUAUAGCAACAGAGGAUUUAUUAUCUUGCCAAAAAAUACAAAAUCUGUUCCCCUUUAAACACGAUACUCUAUCCUUUUCUUGUGGAUCUUGCUAAAAGGAAAAUAUAGCUCUAAACUACCCCAUUCCUUCUGCUGAAAGUUUCCUACGUUUUUUCAAAUGGGCUAUGUGUGGUUUUGUGUUUUAUGUUUCCUAAAGAAAAUGGCUGUAUGCAAAAUCCAUCCAGUAUUAAUCAUGUUCCUUGCCAAAACAAACAAACAAAACCGAAAAUGUUUCUAAAGCAAAGAAGAGAGUCAACAGCAAUUAAGAAAAUCACACUUUGCUAGUUUCAAUACUAACUAUGUAUCACUGGGUGAUGUUCUAUGUUUCAUUUUGUAUUGAACCAAAAAAAAAAAUUUUUUUUUAAAUCGGCUUCAACCAACAGGUGCUUUCUUUAAAGGCCUUAGAACAUGGGUGUUUUGCUCUGAAUGUCGUCUGACUAGUCUAGAUUAUAAUGUUGGUAAUGACAGUUAACUCUUCUGCUUGGUUUAUGAUGUAUAUACAGAAUUUUAAAAACAGUUUUGCAAACAUCACCAAGAAAAUAAGCUUUCCAGUGACAGCUUUACCAGACAUCUUCGUGUGGGAUUUUAAAACAAACACAAGGCUGUUUGGAAAUACUUGGUAUAUGCAAAUAUGCAAAAUAUGCUGAACAGUGCUAACAGCUGUAGGGUGUAUGUACUCCCUCAUCCUUGAGCAGAAUAUUUUGGUGGCAGUGAUGGUUGUUUUUUCCAUCUUAGCUUCUCAUCUCCCUCACCGUCCUACCCCUCUCUCCACCCACUCACCCAUCCACAUACAAAAACACAUACUUAACACCACCACCCCCACCCCCAUUUCCAUGCUGCUUCCAAGAGAAUCAUUUCAACAGAUUCCCCCUGGAAAAGGUGGGUGGUGCCUUGAAGGACUGUUUGAGUUACAGGAUGUUGUAAAGGCUGAGCUCCAUGAACUUGCUUGCACUUGCUCUGACACCAGCCUUGCACACAGCCCAGACACUCUGCAGACCAGAUUCCAUUAAGGCUUGUCCUUGCAAGGAGAGGGAAUGUCUGGUUGAGAGUGGCCUUCCUAUGAUGAUCCUAAAGAACACAGAGUAAUCAUUUUAAAUGUGUGCUAUCAGUUUCCAUAAAAUCAAGGCACUCAUUCAUUUAUGAAAAUAAGCACAUACGGCUUUCUGCCUACAGCCUAAAAGAGGAAGGGAGGACCCAAGAAAAGUUAAAAAUGAAGGUCUCUUCUCAUAAUGCAUCAUUUUAACAGGAUGGAGAGGAGAAGAUGACAAAUAUGAAAUGAGAAACCCUGGGUCCUCAGAGCAGUUCUACUGGUAAUUUGUUGAUAGCAUUUGGUCAGUUUCCUUAUCAGUAAUGUAAAAGAUCAGAUGAAAUAAAUGUAAACUGCUUUGAGAAAAGUAAAAGUACUGCACAGAUACAAAGAGGAACUGAUAUUUAUUAAAACUCUUCUAUAUACCAUGAACAUUACAUGAAUUUAUGUUAAGGAAAUAUCACAAAUAGCAAUAUGUAGAGAGUAUUAUUUGAGAGGAAGUUUGCAAUAUAAAAAAACAUGAGGAUUUAAUGUUUAGUGAUGCAACUCAGAAGCUGAUGUCCUUGGACAAUUUCCUUAACCCCUUUAAGUCUCAGUGUAUUCGUCUGUAAAAUGAAGAUGUGCAAAGUAACUACUUCAUAGAAUUGUUAAAGGAAUUAAAUAAAGUCUAUAAAUCAUUUA